rnacentral:tRNA from 1 species
GCCCGGCUAGCUCAGUUGGUAGAGCAUUCGACUCUUACGGAGUUCGUAACAACCCCUUUGGGGCGGAUGGCAUCGAAUUGUCGUGGGUUCGAGCCCCACGUUGGGCG